UUUUAAGCUUCACAAUGGUUUCUUCAAAGAAAUCCUUACCUGGGAAUCUAGUUUAUUGCAUGGAGCUGCUUUGGGUGAAGCAGUGGUAAAAGAAAGAGGUCUGGAUUGCUGUCCAUCUGGUAUCCUGGAUCGUCUUCUAUCUGUUGUUAAUCCUUGAUGCAACCGUGAAGAUCUUCUGGGCUCUAAGAGAACCUUGUUUGAAGCACUGAUUUGAAAUAGAAGACAGGACAUGUUUCAGAAGGAGCAUGAUUUUCUAAAUAGAAGAAUAAAACUACAGAUAAGGUGGUGAAAUUAAUCUUGGAAAGAAGAAAAUAUUCUUGCUUCUUGAAGAAGAGGCAGAAAGAAUCGGUAAGCACUGACUGAUACAGUAAGGAUUUAGAGAUACCUGAGGGGAACCAUGGAAUUUAAAAGAUUGCAAGG